GCACCCGUCGCCCAACUGGAUAGAGCAUCUGACUACGAAUCAGAAGGUUACAGGUUCGAAUCCUGUCGGGUGUA
rnacentral:tRNA from 2 species